rnacentral:rRNA from 1 species
AGCGAACGCUGGCAGCAGGCCUAACACAUGCAAGUCGAACGAACCCUUCGGGGUUAGUGGCGGACGGGUGAGUAACACAUGGGAACGUGCCUUUAGGUUCGGAAUAGCUCCUGGAAACGGGUGGCAAUGCCGAAUGUGCCCUUCGGGGGAAAGAUUUAUCGCCUUUAGAGCGGCCCGCGUCUGAUUAGCUAGUUGGUGAGGUAAUGGCUCACCAAGGCGACGAUCAGUAGCUGGUCUGAGAGGAUGACCAGCCACAUUGGGACUGAGACACGGCCCAAACUCCUACGGGAGGCAGCAGUGGGGAAUCUUGCGCAAUGGGCGAAAGCCUGACGCAGCCAUGCCGCGUGGAUGAUGAAGGUCUUAGGAUUGUAAAAUCCUUUCACCGGUGAAGAUAAUGACUGUAGCCGGAGAAGAAGCCCCGGCUAACUUCGUGCCAGCCGCCGCGGUAAUAC